GUACAGUAAAGCUGCUAUGAAUUCCCAGCUAUGGGAAUUUUCCUCAAAGCUUCAUUGUCUAAACUCUGAACCUCAUCAUAACCUCAGUUCUGCCUAGCUCCAUAACUAGUAGGUUUCACAAUUUGAUGUCCUCUUGCUGUGCUGACCCACUUGGAACUGGUUACCAAGCAACGGCUUCAGGCAAAUCACCUCAGAUCUGCUCUCCAUUCCCCCAGGGUUGUGGGGGUCCGAAGCACAAGCAGAUGUCUGGAGGGAGCUAUUACUCACAUCCUCCCCUUCUUAAUUUCCCCUUCUUAAUUUCGCUCGGUGGCAGUAGCAGCAGUCACAGACCAAUCUCUAUCACUUCAGGAAAGAAGGGGGCAGAAACAGAAUUAAGGUUGCUGCAGAUCCACAGAGAUUCACUGCUGGUAACAUACUUUGGUGCCACAUGACUCGGAUGCAUUCUGCCGCUAAAAAAAGGACUUCAUAGAAGUUUGCAAGCAAGGAGCUACAACAAAGAUGAUGCCCAAAGCCACCCUCCUCCUAACUUUGGACAGAGCUUACUCCAGAAGACAGUCUUGGAGUAGAACACCAUGGACCAAGUACUUGCCGAGCAUGCCCACUGCCCUCGAUUGUACAUGUGCAAAUACUUUCUUUGCCUAUUCAGAAAUUAGCAGAAACUGUUGAAUAAAGGGAUAAAGGAGAUGCGUAGAGCAGCUUCUGAAGAUCAGCAGGCCUGUGCAGCAUCAUCUGAGGGUCCCCAGAAUUAAAGCAACAUGAAACCCUUCAUACUGAGUGUGGCCACUUCCCACUGACCAUGACUCACAAAUGGUGAGGCCACCUGACAGCGUUGAAGAUAAUUACUAUUCAUCCUCUUCUGCUAAUAGAAACUAUUUUCUCCCCUAAUCUAGGUUUCCAAUUUUAGAAGCUGCCCUGUCCUCAUAAAAGAAUUACCAGGAAGAAACAUCACCAAUUCAGACGGGUUUCUUGGGUAAGGACUUAAUGGACAAGGUUAAACACAGCUGUUCUGGUGCCUGAAAUCCUUAAGAGUCUAGCAGGACCGGAGCAAGUAAAAUAAACUCAGAAAGAGCUGUCUGGAUCAGUGUUUCUAGAGACAAAAUGAGUAUAAAUGAGCAUGGAGUCAACAGGCCUCCUGGGUCAAGGUCAGAGGCAACCUGGGGACACGGAUUAACAGCGGAAGAACACUGCCUAUAGUACAUUUGCUAUGAGACAGCACAGAAUUGGACAUUCUGGCCUUUAAUCAUCAGGCUAUCACAAGGAAAAGUGGUCCAGAUUUAGUACUGUGUCAGCACUUUUUAUAAUAAAUGCUUCAUUUACUAGGAAUUUAGCUAUCGAGUUGCAGAUGAUAAAAAUGACACUCAAAUGCAAGGUCAAACAGCAAACAUUUAUAAUUCCUGUCUAUUAGCUAAAUACACAGUCCUAAUUAUCCAGGUGAAAGGGGUAAUUGUUUUCCCAAACAGUGCCUCAAUCUCCAGUGAUUUACAAAGCACUUUUACACACAUCAUCUCGUCACAGUGGUGUGUAUGCCCUUGUUACACAGAUGGAUUGAACUGGAAAUUGUUUCAUUUGCCAGUUUUAAGUAUCUUCCUUUUCCCUGUGGGUGGUUUCUGUAAGGCCUGAUGGACAUAUUAUCAUCUGGAUCUUCCAGGCAAUGACACCUCUAAAGAGGCCGAUGAACUAGAACUAUCAGUUCUAACACCUUAGGCAAGAAUCCCUCAAUCUCUCUGGGUUUCAGCUUCUUCAUGUGUAUACUGUAGAUAUGUUGUCAAAAUUGUGCUAAUCUUCACCAACUAAUAAGAAAUGAUAAGAAUGAGAUUUUGUGGAUAUGGGACUUUAAUAUACAGUGAGAGGAAUAUAAAUCAGCAUGACUUUUUGCUGGUGUUAUGUAAUAAAAUGUAAAACGUACAUACCAUUUCAUGCAGAAAAUUUAUAUCCAAGAAUCUAUCCCAAUGAGGUAGUUACAUAAAUAUGCAAGUAUACACAAGAUGUUCAUCACAAUUAGAAACAACCAAAAUGUCCACCAACAUGAGACUAGUUCAAAAAGAUACGAGGUAUUCAUACAAGAGACUUUAUGCAUCCACUGAAAAGAAUCAUGUAAUUCAUAUUGGUUGACUCAAAUAGAAGCUCCAUCACAUAUUUUCAAGACAAAAGGAAUUACAAAGCAGUAUGGUUGAUAUAAUCCCAUUUAUGUGCAAAUCAAAUAAAUUCCAGAUUUCACUGUGGUUCAAUUCAGCCCAGUGUCACAUUCACAGAAACAACCCAGCAACAAAAAGGCAUUACAGAGUAAUUUCAGCCUUGGCUCUCCAUUUUCAGAAAACAUUAAAGAACCUACAAUUCCUAACCCACAGCACCACAUCUUAAAAUAGUCUCUGUAUCCCACCUUUUUCAUCUUGUUCUCUAAUUCUCACACUGUAAUAGCUCCUGAAGGCUUUCUCCUCCCCAAUAUGCUUUUCUACUCUCAACCAAAGACAUCACAAUGAUACUCAAACAGAUCAGCCACUUCUCUUUUGUCCCUCUUCCUUCUUCCUUUGUUUUUUUUCUUCACUGAUUACCAUACUCCGAAAAAUAAGGUGGAGAAAGAAGAAAAUGCUAAGUGGACAAAAUUUCCUUUCCAGAGAGUAGGAGAAAAAGAGAUUGACUAUGCAUAUACUACAAUGUCUUAACCUUGUAGCAAGCGCAAAAUUAUUUAAGUGAUAUCUACUGCAUAUAUGCCUAGAAGUGUCUGCAAGGAUGUUGACAAAAUUCUUAAGAAUAAUUAUCUCAGUUGGGAUUUCCCUGUGAACUUUGCUUUUAAUUUUAUAUCUCUCCUUAUACCUCUUUGAGUAACUCAUGAUGAACAUGUUUUGUUUGUGAUCAAAACCACGAAAUAAACUCAUGUCAACAUGUAAAAAAAGAGGUUGUAAUGAUGCUCACAAGAAACAAUAGACAUGAAAAAAUACACAAUUUAAGUACAAAGUAUAAGCAUUUUAAAUAAAUACGAUUGGACUGUCUCUUCCAGUUUCCAACAUUAAUAAGCUCCAUUAUUUUGGAAUUAUUUUAAUUACUCCUACAUGUUAGAGUUGGUUAAUUUCUGAACAACAGUCAGAUACUCCCCUGUGUUGCUUAAUUUGUUGUUUUAUUAUCAGUCAGCCCUGUUUAAUUUGUGAGUCCACUGGGUUAUGACUUGUACAGCAU
rnacentral:lncRNA from 1 species